UACGUAGGGUGCAAGCGUUAAUCGGAAUUACUGGGCGUAAAGCGUGCGCAGGCGGUUAUGUAAGACAGGCGUGAAAGCCCCGGGCUCAACGUGGGAGGUGCGCUUGAUACUCGAGGGCUUGAGUGCGGGAGAGGAGAGUGGAAUUCCCAGUGUAGAGGUGAAAUUCGUAGAUAUCAGGAGGAACACCUGUGGUGUAGGCGGCUUUCUGGACCAUAGCUGACGCUGAGACACGAAAGCGUGGGUAGCAAACAGG
rnacentral:rRNA from 1 species